UACGGAGGAUGCAAGCGUUAUCCGGAAUUAUUGGGCGUAAAGCGUCCGCAGGUGGCAAUGUAAGUCUGCUGUUAAAGAGUCUGGCUCAACUAGAUAAAAGCAGUGGAAACUACAUAGCUAGAGUACGUUCGGGGCAGAGGGAAUUCCUGGUGUAGCGGUGAAAUGCGUAGAGAUCAGGAAGAACACCAGUGGCGAAGGCGGUCUGCUAGGCCGUAACUGACACUGAGGGACGAAAGCUAGGGGAGCGAAUGGG
rnacentral:rRNA from 1 species